rnacentral:tRNA from 1 species
CUUCUCGUGGUGUAGUUGGCAACGCGCCUGUCUGGUGAGUAGGAGUCGUCAUGAGUUCGAGUCUCGCCGAGAGGA